rnacentral:sRNA from 1 species
AAUUCGACACCAAAGUUUGGAACAUAAAAAGAAGGUUCUUAAAAAUUACAAUCCAGAUCACGAUGAGGACUUGGUGCAGGAAACUUCAUCUGAAGAUGUCCCAGGCGUUCACAUGGUGGACAAAGACACACAGACAGACAGUACGUAUUCUGGAAUCACCCCUAUGCUGAGGAAAAAUUCUAGUGUUGACAAAGGUGACACUUUCUUGCCUCAUUUUUUCUGGAGAGCCACUCUGGUUUGAACUUCCUGCCAGAAAUGUGGUUCAAGCACUUUUGUCUUGACCAGUGAAGAACCUGGUCAAGAAAUGUGACCGUUGACUCUGGUGCCUGGAAGGAACAGUGUCAUUUGGAUAGAAGAGGGUGUUGUGCAUCAGGGUUGGGAGGUAUGGAGGAAUGAGUCAAUGUGGAGUGAUUGUGAAUGUCUCUGCGAGUUUGUGUGCUUUUCCCCAGAAAAUAUGUUCCCAUAUGCGAAGCACAACACAAAGAUUGAUAUUCUAGAAACAAAAUUUGAUCACCACUGCAUUUUUCCAAAAAAAACAACCCA